CGAUGUGCCAGCAGAUCAGUAGGAAACAAUGUAGGAUUUAGAUGUUGAGCUUAAGUCUUUUGCCUCGGUGGGAUGUCCAAGUGAAAACUUGUGUUUUGUAAAUAUGCUUUACUCCCCGUUUCCCCUUAACUUUAAUUUCCCUGGUAGUUGAUCUGUUACGAGGAUCCUUAGUCCUGCUAGCUCGUAGAGGGCAUACUCUCGUGGAUGUGUAGUACCUUGGCGUCACAAGGAUAACUAGGUCCUGCGGUCUAAGAUGUGUUCUACCUAAGUACUUUAUGAGUUUUAGGGUUGGUAGAAAUGAACAUUUUAUAUAAAUAAAUGGCCAAGAUAAAAGAAAGCACAGCCCCCAGGUUUUGAGCUUGGAAAGAUAAGAUUGAAAGUUGGGGUGGUGUUGUGGUAGAAUAUAUCGACUGCCAAAUCUGUUGAACUUUAUUCCUUAUCUAAUAGGAAAUAAAAAUAGACGGUACAUACCUUUAUUAUGGGAAGAAGCGUCGUAGGUGCUCGAUGUUCCCUGAGUUUGGCAUGUUAGUGCCAUCUUCCCUCAUCAGCUGGUAUGAACCCGCCCGAGUGACUUCCUUGACAAUGAAUGGCCCCUCCCAUGGAGCCACCUGUCG
rnacentral:lncRNA from 1 species